CCUACGGGUGACAGCAGUGGGGAAUAUUGCACAAUGGGGGAAACUCUGAUGCAGCGAUGCCGCGUGGAGGAAGAAGGUUUUCGGAUCGUAAACCCCUUUUAUCAGGGACGAAAAUGACGGUACCCGAAGAACAAGCCCCGGCUAACUACGUGCCAGCAGCCGCGGUAAUACGUAGGGAGCGCGCGUUGGCCGGAAUUACUGGGUGUAAAGGGAGCGUAGGCGGGAGGGCAAGCCGGAUGUGAAAACUGAGGGCUCAACUUUCAGACUGCAUUUGAAACUGCGGGUCUUGAGUGCGGUAGAGGUAAGCGGAAUUCCUAGUGUAGCGGUGAAAUGCGUAGAUAUUAGGAGGAACAUCAGUGGCGAAGGCGGCUUACUGGGCUUUUACUGACGCUGAGGCGCGAAAGCGUGGGGAGCAAACAGGAUUAGAUACCCGGGUAGUC
rnacentral:rRNA from 1 species